rnacentral:rRNA from 1 species
UGGGGAAUAUUGCACAAUGGACGGAAGUCUGAUGCAGCAACGCCGCGUGCGGGAUGACGGCCUUCGGGUUGUAAACCGCUUUUUCUCAUGACGAAGUUUUUUGACGGUAGUGGGGGAAGAAGCACCGGCUAACUACGUUCCAGCAGCCGCGGUGAUACGUAGGGUGCGAGCGUUGUCCGGAAUUAUUGGGCGUAAAGAGCUUGUAGGCGGUUUGUCGCGUCGAUAGUGCAAACUCAGUGCUUAACGCUGAGCCUGCUGUUGAUACGGGCAGACUAGAGGAAGGUAGGGGAGAAUGGAAUUCCCGGUGGAGCGGUGGAAUGCGCAGAUAUCGGGAGGAACACCGGUGGCGAAGGCGGUUCUCUGGGCCUUUCCUGACGCUGAGAAGCGAAAGCGUGGGGAGCGAACAGG